rnacentral:rRNA from 1 species
UGCGAAGGUAAGCGAAUCCCAUAAAGCCAUUCUCAGUUCGGAUUGCAGGCUGCAACUCGCCUGCAUGAAGCCGGAAUCGCUAGUAAUCGCGGAUCAGCAUGCCGCGGUGAAUACGUUCCCGGGCCUUGUACACACCGCCCGUCACACCACGAGAGUUUGUAACACCCGAAGUCGGGGAGGUAACCUUCAUGGAGCCAGCCGCCUAAGGUGGGACAGAUGAUUGGGGUGAAGUCGUAACAAGGUAGCCGUAUCGGAAGGUGCGGCUGGAUCACCUCCUUUCUAAGGA